GGGGAAUAUUGCACAAUGGGGGAAAGCCUGAUGCAGCAACGCCGCGUGAGCGAUGAAGGCCUUCGGGUCGUAAAGCUCUGUCCUAUGGGAAGAAGCGAAAGUGACGGUACCUGCAGAAGAAGCGCCGGCUAACUACGUGCCAGCAGCCGCGGUAAUACGUAGGGCGCAAGCGUUGUCCGGAAUUAUUGGGCGUAAAGAGCUCGUAGGCGGUUAGUCGCGUCUGCUGUGAAAACUCGAGGCUCAACCUCGGGCUUGCAGUGGGUACGGGCUGACUAGAGUGCGGUAGGGGUGACUGGAAUUCCUGGUGUAGCGGUGGAAUGCGCAGAUAUCAGGAGGAACACCGAUGGCGAAGGCAGGUCACUGGGCCGCAACUGACGCUGAGGAGCGAAAGCAUGGGGAGCGAACA
rnacentral:rRNA from 1 species